UACGUAGGGGGCAAGCGUUGUCCGGAAUCAUUGGGCGUAAAGAGCUCGUAGGCGGCUUGUUGCGUCGGCUGUGAAAACCCAUGGCUCAACCGUGGGCUUGCAGCCGAUACGGGCAGGCUAGAGUUCGGUAGGGGAGACUGGAAUUCCUGGUGUAGCGGUGAAAUGCGCAGAUAUCAGGAGGAACACCGGUAGCGAAGGCGGGUCUCUGGGCCGAUACUGACGCUGAGGAGCGAAAGCGUGGGGAGCGAACAGG
rnacentral:rRNA from 1 species